rnacentral:rRNA from 1 species
GCGACCUCAGCUCAGGCGGGGCCACCCGCUGAGUUUAAGCAUAUCAAUAAGCGGAGGAAAAGAAACUAACAAGGAUUCCCCUA